rfam:Schistosoma curassoni strain Dakar, Senegal genome assembly, scaffold: SCTD_scaffold0000084
AUCUAGCUGAUGAGUUCUAAAUAGGAUGAAAUGCGUGUCAAACUUGAU